rnacentral:rRNA from 1 species
UUCGUUAACGAACGAGACCUCGACCUGCUAAAUAGUUCAGCGAAUUCUAGAAUUCGUCCGUGACUUCUUAGAGGGACUAUCGGUGAUUUAGCCGAUGGAAGUUCGAGGCAAUAACAGGUCUGUGAUGCCCUUAGAUGUCCUGGGCCGCACGCGCGCUACACUGAUACGUUCAUCGAGUUUACAACCUUGGUUGAGAGGCCUGGGUAAUCUUUUGAAACCGUAUCGUGCUGGGGAUAGAUCAUUGUAAUUAUUGAUCUUCAACGAGGAAUUCCUAGUAAACGCGAGUCAUCAACUCGCAUUGAUUACGUCCCUGCCCUUUGUACACACCGCCCGUCGCUAAUACCGAUUGAAUGGAUU